GUGGGCGGCGGCGGCGGCGGCGGGAGUUAGUGCGUCCCCUGCUCGGGCCUUACCGCUCCAGGGAAGAUGUCGGUGUCCGACGAGCCCCGUGUGAUGUCCGCGGCGGACGAGGCUGAGCCUCAGGAGGAGGAGGAGGAGGAGGAAGAGGAGGAAGAAGGGGGAGAAGGGAAGAAGAGAGAGAAGGAAUCGGCGGCUGCGGCUCCCGGGGCAGCCGGGGCAGCGGGGCCCAGCGCCAGUUUCGGGCUGGUGGCGGCGCGACGGGAACCGGCGGUGAAACUGCAGCACCCCGUCAGCGGCCUGGAGCCGCUCUCCUGGUCCGAGGAUCACCGGGUCUCGGUCUCUACAGCCCGCAGCAUCGCGGUGCUGGAGCUCAUUUGCGAUGUGCAUAGCCCGGGCCAGGACCUGGUCAUCCACCGCACCUCGGUGCCUGCUCCGGUCAACAGCUGCCUGCUCAAGGUUGGUUCAAAAAAGGAGGUUGCUGAAUGUAAGGAGAAAUUUGCCACCUCUAAAGACCCCACAGUCAGUCAAAGCUUCAUGCUAGAUAGGGUAUUUAAUCCUGAAGGAAAAUCUUUGCCACCAAUGAGAGGAUUCAAGUAUACCAGCUGGUCUCCAAUGGGCUGUGAUGCUAAUGGGAGAUGUCUGUUGUCAGCAUUAACCAUGGACAAUCGAUUGACCAUUCAGGCUAACCUCAACAGACUGCAGUGGGUACAGCUGGUUGAUCUAACUGAGAUCUAUGGAGAGCGCCUUUACGAGACCAGCUAUAAGCUAACCAAAAAUGAAGCCCCCGAAGGAGAUCUUGGGGACUUUGCUGAGUUUCAGAGGAGACACAGCAUGCAGACUCCAGUACGGAUGGAGUGGUCAGGCAUCUGCACCACCCAGCAGGUCAAAAACAAUAAUGAAUGCCAUGAUGUCGGCAGUGUGCUCCUGGCAGUCCUUUUUGAAAAUGGAAACAUUGCAGUGUGGCAGUUUCAGCUCCCAUUUAUUGGCAAGGAAUCUAUCUCUUCAUGUAACACCAUUGAAUCAGGGAUUACCUCUCCUAGUGUUUUGUUUUGGUGGGAGUAUGAACACAACAAUCGAAAAAUGAGCGGGCUCAUUGUGGGGAGUGCAUUUGGGCCUGUUAAAAUUCUUCCUGUUAACCUCAAAGCAGUUAAAGGCUACUUCACAUUAAGACAACCUGUUAUUCUAUGGAAAGAAAUGGACCAGUUGCCAGUACACAGCAUUAAAUGUAUUCCUCUUUAUCAUCCAUACCAGAAAUGUAGUUGUAGCUUAGUGGUGGCUGCUAGGGGAUCCUAUGUGUUUUGGUGUCUUCUUCUGAUAUCCAAAGCAGGUUUGAAUGUCCAUAAUUCCCAUGUCACAGGACUUCACACACUACCCAUUGUUUCCAUGACUGCAGACAAACAAAAUGGCACAGUAUAUACUUGUUCAAGUGAUGGAAAGGUGAGGCAACUGAUUCCCAUUUUUACAGAUGUUGCAUUAAAAUUUGAGCACCAACUGAUAAAACUAUCAGAAGUAUUUGGCUCAGUGAGGACUCAUGGGAUAGCAGUAAGCCCUUGUGGUGCAUACCUGGCAGUCAUUACAACUGAAGGCAUGAUCAAUGGUCUCCACCCUGUGAACAAAAACUACCAGGUUCAGUUUGUCACUCUCAAAACAUUUGAAGAGGCAGCAGCUCAACUCCUAGAGUCUUCAGUUCAAAAUCUCUUUAAGCAGGUAGACUUAUUAGACCUGGUACGCUGGAAAAUUUUGAAAGAUAAACAUAUUCCUCAGUUUUUACAAGAAGCUUUGGAUAAAAAGAUCGAAGGUUCUGGGUCUACUUACUUUUGGCGGUUUAAACUUUUCCUCUUGCGGAUUUUAUAUCAGUCAAUGCAGAAAACCCCUUCAGAGGUCUUAUGGAAGCCUACCCAUGAAGACAACAAAAUCUUAAUAACUGACUCUCUUGUGCUGGGCCAUACUGAUGAGGAGCAACAAGAAGAAGGUUCUUUUAAACAAAUGAGCAAACCAGGUGGUCAUGAGAAGAACAAAGAAAGAGAUGUUGAAGAUCUAGCUGACAGCUCACCCAUCCAAUCUGGAGAUGCAAGUCGUGAGCCAAUGGAAGAGAAACUCCUAGAAAUCCAAGGAAGAAUUGAAGCUGUUGAAAUGCACUUAGCUAGGGAGCAUAUGAAGAGGGUAUUGGGGGAAGUAUACCUGCACACGUGGAUCACGGAGAACACUGGCAUUCCCACCAAAGGACUCUGUGACUUUUUAAUGUCUGAUGAAGGUUAUGAUGACAGAACAGCUCGGGUACUCAUUGGGCACAUCUCAAAGAAGAUGAACAAACAAACUUUCCCUGAACACUGCAGUUUAUGUAAAGAAAUUUUGCCAUUCACAGAUCGUAAGCAGGCAGUUUGUUCUAAUGGGCACAUUUGGCUCCGGUGCUUUUUAACUUAUCAGUCUUGCCAGAGUUUGAUAUACAGAAGGUGUUUGCUUCAUGACAGCAUUGCACGACAUCCAACUUCAGGAGAUCCUGACUGGAUAAAGAGGUUAUUGCAAGGCCCUUGCCCAUUCUGCGACUCCCCUGUUUUCUAAAUGACAGUCAUGGGAAGAUGAAGAAGGCAAUUGUUUUUGCUUAUAGAAAACUUCCUUUGCCUGGAAGAAAAAAAAACACAGGAGUAAACUUUGCCUACAUAAGAGAAGAAAUACUGUCCUUAUUCCUAUAAAUAGGACAUUGGAAACUCAUAUCUUAGAGGCUCAGUUCCUUCUUGUCUUGAGAGGCAGAAGUACAUUUUUUUUUACAUUUCUGGAUAAUGAGGAUUUGCUGAAGUAUUUUUGAGCAAACUUUUAGAAUCCAAGGGAGGGGUGUAAUAAAGACGAUCAUAGAGAAUUCCUCAAAAAGACAAGGCAGCUAAGAAAUAGGAACCCUUGUCUGGAUCGCACUGAUGCCAAGUGUAUGUUCAGUCUAAUUGAACAGAGCCAGGUAACUUGUAUCAGAUGCAAAAUUUCUGUUUCCUUCUAACAUAAACCAGGGUAGCAAAAUAAUAUUUGCCCUUUUUAAAACUAGAAAUAGGCAUUCUGGAAUUGUAAUAGGCUUGGAUAUAUGAAUUGAAUCAUUGGCUCUGGACUUAGUCCAUAAUUCAGUUAUCUUGUAGUGGUUCUUAUUUGUAUGCAGAGAUGGAUGGGAACAGUAAACAUUUCUUCAGUCAUAUGCUUUUGGCCAUAUUGUACCUGUUUCCAUCGUAAAUCCCAUUUUUUUCCUUCUUCCAGUUUGAUCCAUGGUAGACUAUCUAAUUUUAGUAAUUAGAUUUACUUCGGCAAUAUUAUUUUUAGCCAUAAAGCACUAUAGUCUAUAGACUAACGUUCUGCAUCCAUCUUGGCUAAUUUGUGUCAAAGAACAGAGAACUUGAGGCAUCCAAGGUGAUAUCUCCAAAGGCAAAAAGAUCUCCAUAAUAUCCUUCUACCCAGCAAACUAGAUUUUAAUUCCUGGCCUUGAUCUCUUGCUCCCUGAACUCUUUUCCUUGUCUCUGUCAUUUUGGGAGCAGUCCUACGACUAUUGCUGUCAGUAUCCCAAACAAUGUGGUAAUUGAUAGGGAUAAAAACUGGAUAGCAGCAUGGUUCUUUACCAAAAAAAAAAUUAAAACUUGGAUAACUAUAUUUCAGUAUUUUUUUUUCCCACUUGGCCACCAUUAGAAUCAUGUUAAUAAGAGGAUUAAGACAGACCAUAGCCAGAAAUCCUUCCACUCUUGUUUGAAGCAAACUGUCCUUGACAGUCCUUAACUACAUUAAGUGCCAUUUAAAAUUUUGACAUUUAAUUUUUAUUUAAAAUGUCUAUUAUUGUCAUUGUAUUUAAUGAACUAUGGGGGGCGGUGUUUGUUUUUUGAGUACAAGAAACUAUUUGAAAGAGGGUCUCAAGUUCUUUUGUGUGUCUUUUUAGGAAGCUAUUUUGGAAGCUUUCUUCCAAGUUGGACAUACCUCAAACAAACUGACUAACAUAUAUAACUAGUUUAUAGCAUUCUCCAUUGACCUUCUGGGAGCCUUCUCUAAUGAGAAUCUUGCCUCAUUUGGGAAGCUUAUCUCAAAAGAAUGUUGAAAUGUGGAGAGUAAAGAGAAAAGUUUGAGUAGAUAGGCUACCCUCACUUAGCAUCCUAACGAUUCCAUGUUCUCUUCUGAAAAUCAGCUUGUUCCCGCAGUACUACUAAAGGAUAAACUGUCAUUACUAUCACAUCUUUGGGGUUGUUUUCAAAUUCUUAAAUCAGUGAAACCUUUGAAAAUGAAUGUUUAGGUAAACCCAAAUAUUGACCUGCGAUAUUGAUCACAUAUGUCAAAUUGUUUACAGAGAAUGUGAGAAGUUUACAAAAUCUUAUUUCAUAAAACAGAGCUGUUCUUUGUGUUGUGUUAGAAUCUGACUCAAAUAUGACUAUAUAAUAACUGUAUUUCAGCAUUGAAGGUACUGGAGGUGAUAACUGCCGCAUUGCAUUUAAAGUGCACUAGCAAAGAUGACACAAAACUAGACCUUUCAGUUGAAAC